AACGAACGCUGGCGGCAGGCCUAACACAUGCAAGUCGAACGCUGCAGCAAUGCAGAGUGGCAGACGGGUGAGUAACGCGUGGGAACCUUCCCAGUGGUACGGAAUAGCCCAGGGAAACUUGGGGUAAUACCGUAUAAGCCCCUAGGGGGAAAGAUUUAUCGCCAUUGGGUGGGCCCGCGUCGGAUUAGCUAGUUGGUGAGGUAUGGCUCACCAAGGCGACGAUCCGUAGCUGGUCUGAGAGGAUGAUCAGCCACACUGGGACUGAGACACGGCCCAGACUCCUACGGGAGGCAGCAGUGGGGAAUAUUGGACAAUGGGCGCAAGCCUGAUCCAGCCAUGCCGCGUGAGUGACGAAGGCCUUAGGGUUGUAAAGCUCUUUUGGCGGGGACGAUAAUGACGGUACCCGCAGAAUAAGCUCCGGCUAACUUCGUGCCAGCCGCCGCCGUAA
rnacentral:rRNA from 1 species